GGGCGGCUGGCCUAAUGGUAAGGCGCUAGAUUUCGGUGUUUCACUCAAUCUCUAGAGAUUGCAGGUUCGAUCCCUGCGUCGCUCA
rfam:Penicillium chrysogenum Wisconsin 54-1255 complete genome, contig Pc00c21